rnacentral:lncRNA from 1 species
GGUAUGCAAGCUUGUCAUUUUGCGCAUAGAAUCGAAUACGAGUGAAGCUGAAGAAUAAUUAUAUUGUGAUGAAGGAAUAUCAACUCAUCAUUACGAGUUGUAAGUAACUAAACUCGUUACCUCUGGAUCAACAACACAUCGUCCUAUUAUUGGCUUAUUGGCAGUUGUUUUGCUUGCCUCGUGUUUAAGGGUGGUUCAAUUUCUCUGAUUAUAUGCACAAGUUAUUAUUAUUAUUAUGUCGAAU